rnacentral:rRNA from 1 species
UACGUAGGGUGCAAGCGUUAAUCGGAAUUACUGGGCGUAAAGAGCGCGCAGGCGGUCGUUCAAGUCGCGUGUGAAAGCCCCCGGCUCAACUGGGGAGGGUCACGCGAUACUGAUCGACUCGAAGGCAGGAGAGGGUAGUGGAAUUCCCGGUGUAGUGGUGAAAUGCGUAGAUAUCGGGAGGAACACCAGUGGCGAAGGCGACUACCUGGCCUGUUUCUUGACGCUGAGGCGCGAAAGCUAGGGGAGCAAACGGG